UACGUAGGGUGCAAGCGUUAAUCGGAAUUACUGGGCGUAAAGCGUGCGCAGGCGGUUUUGUAAGUCUGACGUGAAAUCCCCGGGCUCAACCUGGGAAUUGCGUUGGAGACUGCAAGGCUUGAAUCUGGCAGAGGGGGGUAGAAUUCCACGUGUAGCAGUGAAAUGCGUAGAGAUGUGGAGGAACACCGAUGGCGAAGGCAGCCCCCUGGGUCAAGAUUGACGCUCAUGCACGAAAGCGUGGGGAGCAAACCGG
rnacentral:rRNA from 1 species